rnacentral:rRNA from 1 species
GAGAGCAUGUGCACACCUGUCAUUUUUAUAUUUCCACCUGUGCACCUUUUGUAGUUCUGGAAUAUCCUUUAUGGUUAGUUUUAACCGUAUCAUGAGAGACUGCUGUGCUAUAUAAGCCAGCUUUCUUUUGUAUUUUCCAGAUCUAUGUCUUUCAUAUACACCCUGUAUGUUAAGGAAUGAACAUUUAAGGCCCUUAAAAGCCUAUAUAAAAAACAAUAUACAACUUUCAGCAACGGAUCUCUUGGCUCUCGCAUCGAUGAAGAACGCAGCGAAAUGCGAUAAGUAAUGUGAAUUGCAGAAUUCAGUGAAUCAUCGAAUCUUUGAACGCACCUUGCGCUCCUUGGUAUUCCGAGGAGCAUGCCUGUUUGAGUGUCAUUAAAUCAUCAAACAUUAUGAUUUUAAAAGAUUGUAGUGUUUGGAUAUGGAAGUGUUGUUGGCCUUUUCUUUGGUCAGCUCUUCUUAAAUUCAUUAGCCAGGAGCUUUUGUAACUGUCUAUUGGUGUGAUAAUUAUCUAUGCCAUCGAAAGCUACACUUUUAUAAGACUUCUGCUUCUAACUGUCUAUUGGACAAUUUUUGACAAUUUGACCUCAAAUCAGGUAGGACUACCCGCUGAACUUAAGCAUAUCAAUAAGCGGAGGAAAAGAAACUAACAAGGAUUCCCCUAGUAACUGCGAGUGAAGCGGGAAAAGCUC